UACGGAGGAUGCGAGCGUUAUCCGGAUUUAUUGGGUUUAAAGGGUGCGCAGGCGGACUGUCAGGUCGUCGGUCAAAGUUCGGGGCUUAACCCCGUGAUGCCGACGAAACCGAUAGACUGGAGUAUGUUCAAUGUAUGCGGAAUGCGAGGUGUAGCGGUGAAAUGCAUAGAUAUCACGCAGAACUCCGAUUGCGAAGGCAGCAUACAGGGACAAAACUGACGCUGAGGCACGAAAGCGUGGGGAUCGAACAGG
rnacentral:rRNA from 1 species